rnacentral:lncRNA from 1 species
AUUGCUCAGCUUGAGCUGUGGAAGGAGAAGAGCUCUGGCAAGUAUGAGAAGAAGGUGUACGUGCUCCCCAAGCACCUUGAUGAGAAGGUUGCUGCUCUCCACUUGGGCAAGCUUGGUGCCAGGCUCACCAAGCUCAGCAAGUCUCAGGCUGACUACAUCAGUGUCCCGAUUGAGGGUCCCUACAAGCCUGCUCACUACCGGUACUAGGCAGCACGACAAGAAGUUCACUCGGCUGGCCGGUUGUGUUGUGUGCCGGUAUGAAGUUCGCUACACCGGCUUGUCAAUUAACUUUUGCAUGGAUAUCAAAUGCGCCGUUGGCGUAGGAGGGUCAUCGCUUGAGCCUGGUUGAGUGGGGAGAGGAGGGAAGAGCUAUUUGCUUUUGCGGAAGAAUAAUGGCGUAAUUGGUCGUGGGGUGAAGCGGGUGUGCGUUGCCAGAAACUAUACCGUUUCUGAUUAUCAUUUGCAAGCGAUUUAUUCUAGUUAUGUGUCUUUCAUGAAUAACUUGCUUUCUUUAAGAGCAUAUUUAGUCAGAUACUAAGUUUUGCAUAUGUCUGUUUCGUUGAGUUAUCCAGCAAGCUCGUCGUGCCUUCUCGGU